rnacentral:antisense_RNA from 1 species
UUGACUGCGAUUCCGGGAAAUGCGAUUCUCUUAGUGACCAAACUGAGAGAGGCCUUUCGGAACGCUGUUUCGGAGGGCUUUUUCUUUGCU